rnacentral:rRNA from 1 species
AGUGAACGCUGGCGGUAGGCCUAACACAUGCAAGUCGAACGGCAGCACAGUAAGAGCUUGCUCUUACGGGUGGCGAGUGGCGGACGGGUGAGGAAUACAUCGGAAUCUACUUUUUCGUGGGGGAUAACGUAGGGAAACUUACGCUAAUACCGCAUACGACCUACGGGUGAAAGCAGGGGAUCUUCGGACCUUGCGCGAUUGAAUGAGCCGAUGUCGGAUUAGCUAGUUGGCGGGGUAAAGGCCCACCAAGGCGACGAUCCGUAGCUGGUCUGAGAGGAUGAUCAGCCACACUGGAACUGAGACACGGUCCCGACUCCUACGGGAGGCAGCAGUGGGGAAUAUUGGACAAUGGGCGCAAGCCUGAUCCAGCCAUACCGCGUGGGUGAAGAAGGCCUUCGGGUUGGAAAGCCCUUUUGUUGGGAAAGAAAAGCAGCAGGUUAAUACCCCGCUGUUCUGACGGUACCCAAAGAAUAAGCACCGGCUAACUUCGUG